rnacentral:rRNA from 1 species
UACGAAGGGGGCUAGCGUUGCUCGGAAUCACUGGGCGUAAAGGGCGCGUAGGCGGCCAUUCAAGUCGGGGGUGAAAGCCUGUGGCUCAACCACAGAAUUGCCUUCGAUACUGUUUGGCUUGAGUCUGGUAGAGGUUGGCGGAACUGCGAGUGUAGAGGUGAAAUUCGUAGAUAUUCGCAAGAACACCGGUGGCGAAGGCGGCUCACUGGCUCAUUACUGACGCUCAGGCGCGAUAGCGUGGGGAUCAAACAGG